GACGAACGCUGGCGGCGUGCCUAAUACAUGCAAGUCGAACGCAGUGGGGACGGGUGAGUAACACGUGGGUAACCUCCCAUCAGAUGGGAUAACACUUGGAAAAAGGUGCUAAAACGUUACUGAUGGAUGGACCCGCGGUGCAUUAGCUAGUUGGUGAGGUAACGGCUCACCAAGGCCAAGACGCAUAGGCGACCUGGGAGGGUGUUGGCCCACACUGGGACUGAGACACGGCCCAGACUCCUACGGGAGGCAGCAGUAGGGAAUCUUCGGCAAUGGACGAAAGUCUGACCGAGCACCGCCGGGUGAGUGAAGAAGGUUUUCGGAUCGUAAAACGCUGUUGUUAGAGAAGCGGUAUCUAACCAGAAAGCCACGGCUAACUACGUGCCAGCAGCCGCGGUAAUUC
rnacentral:rRNA from 1 species